rnacentral:misc_RNA from 1 species
CGCCAGAACAAAGUUUUCACAUCAACAGGAAAACUAGUUACCUCAGAUUACAAGAAUUUUAUUAUGCUACAAGUCAAGAGAUGACCGGUGAAAUAUAUCCUAUGCCUCUCGGUCCCGUCUGAAUGUUGCUGCGCUCAAUCUUAUUCCCACGCCAAGUCGAUAACUGACCGACCCCCACCCACUAGAUGAUCCACAGUCUCAAGAUGUAAGGUAGGUCGGUGAUAGCAAACAAUUAUAGAUUUCACGUGUCCUUAAAUGUUCAUACGGACCAUGGCCAAGUUUGUCCAAUCUAAUUUUUCUACACACAUCCCACAGCAUAAAAAUUAAAAAUUCAAAUGAUCUGGACUGACGCGAGGGCACACUGAAAAGAUGAAUCCCACUACAAGUUGAAACAAGAUUGCACAAGACACCCGGAUUUUACAUUCUGGGAUAGGAACAAAACGUCAUACAUACGAUAUUUUCGAAAAAAUACACGGUUUACCUCUUCAAAAUGUUAUUAUACACCCACUAAAUCACGCCCAAUACAUAUAGUCUCAGAUUUUAUGCACAACUGAAAAACCGCCUGUGCAAUAUGAUUGGGCAAGACGCUAUCAUAUUUACAUCCAAGCUCCCCAUCCAGCAAACAUUUGACAUAAGCGCUCUGGAUCAAUAGCAUCUUGUAUGAGCUGUUGAACCUGUCCAUGUACACUUCUCAAUUCACCUUCUUCAUAUCCAUCUAGUUUUUGCUUGACACGCAUCAGUGCACGUGCAGCAUCUUUAUUCCCUUCAUAUUCAUCUUGCGAGUCAUCCAAACAUGUAUCCAGAUCAUCAUCCAUUUCCUAAUCAGCAGUAAAUGAACAAAGGGGGGAAAAAAGGAAUCACAUGAGCACUAAUAUGGUCAUCUCACAAACACUAAAUGUACUUUAUUGCAACAAAUUCAAGUGUAUAUGGAAAGAUAUGGAACCCCUAGUAGUGCAGGAAGGCAAUUUGGGCUGGAGUAAAUAGAAAAAAAAAAUUGCAGUUGAAGAUAACAAUUAAUGAAUGUUAUAUGAAACACAUGCCCUCAUGAAGAGGCAAACCAUUAACCAAAGACAAAAAAUACAUGAGUGCGGGCGUUGCUAGUUUCAUCCACAAAUUUCCCACAAUGUCCUGUCAAAACUAGCAGUGAAGACUUUUGGUAUGGCACAUUUUACAGAGCAGUUGUCUGCUCUAAACAACUAGGAUCCAAGCUGUGAAAGUGACAAGGCCUCUGAAGUACCAUGUUAUUUUGCACAAACGCUUGCAUUUUCAUUUUAUAGAAUUUGUUUUGACAAAAAAAAUUCCAUGUUCAUUCGUUAGUAUGAUGUUCUUUUUGUUUCAACAACUUUUAUAACUAUAGGUGGAAAAUCCAUGCAUAUCCUAGAAAAUAUUGUUUAAAUAUAUCUAAUGACUCAGAGUAGAUGCUUAAGAUGAGAGGAAAAGGUUGAUAUGUAGAAAUACCUUUUGGCGCUGCAAGGCUUUUAGAGGGGAUAAAGCCCAUUUAUACAAUGGGUCAUGAAUAAAUACCUGCAGUAUACUCACAUGUUAUAAUGAAAUAUAAAAGGGAAUACAAUUUACUUUCAAAUGUUGUUCUGCAAAGCAAUUAUACUUCAACAAUGGUUAGUAGAGCUUCUUUAUUUGUUCGCAUAACAGCAAGAGUUUCUUCACAACAUCUUCUGAAGACCCCUUCUACUCCAGUAACACCCAUGCCAUCAAUUAUGUCUCUUGUCAAUCUGAACGGAACCUGCCACAGUUCAAAGAAGACACUAAGAAAUUAUUAAUAAAGCAAACAAUCUGAAAAGGAAAGAAAAUGCUAGGACUGCACACAAACCCGCUCUGGGGUCUUAAGCAUCAAGCCUUGUUCAAAAGCAACACCAAGAUCUAUGUGAACAACUUGUGCAGUGGUUUGAUCAAUCAAGAUAUUCAUGGAAUGUCUGUCACCGAGGCCAACAAUAUAACCCACCUGAAAAUUAAACCAAAAUUUACAAACCACUGCAAUAUUGUGGCAUUGAGAACUAAUUUACUUCAGUAAGAAGAGAUGCAGGUAAUUCCAAUUUUGUAACAUUGUGAGGCAACUACAUUUAAAAAUAAUUAUCAAGAUGAGUUUUUCAGUAAACUAUUCCAUCUCUUCAAGCUUAUAGUACAUGUCAAGUGGAGUAUUUCUUCAUAUGAAGACAACACAUUUUAUGUCUAUAAUCAUCACAAGCUCCUUUGCUAAAAAAUAAAUGAAAAAGAUUGUUCUGGAUAGAGGAAAAGAAAAAGAACAGAGAACAAGCCAACAACAAUGCUUAAUUUUUGAAAGAUAAGACAUAAUGAAUAAUGUAAUAGAAAGAGUAGAACAAUAACCAUGGAGCUCGCAGCCACGCUACGUGUGUAUGCAAGUCUCUUCUCAAACCAGUCAGCUGGUUGCAAAAAUCUCUCCAGAAAAAAGUGAUGCAUGACAGGUCUGAAGUUCUCACAAAUUUCCUGGAAUGCUUUACGCUUGUCCUUUUCAUUUGAUAUAUGCUCUCUGCAUUUGAGAAAUGACCAGUCUCCAAUUCCAUACCGACCAUGGGCACCACCAUUUCUUGUGCUUGCUAUAAGAUAUUCCCCAAGAGGAAGAGUGCCAUUAACCCAUUCAAGAACGCCAGCACUUGGAGUAAAAGGAAUUACCUUGUACGUACGCACUCCUAAUCUUCUCUUCCAUGUAUCUCUAUUAUUCUGUAAAAAGGUGUUAACCAGACCAAAAAAUUGUUCCAUAACAGCAUCUUGUCUAAGGUCAUCAUUUCCAGAUUUUGCUAGCUGUCGAUAUUUUCUACCAUCAGAACCAAGGCAUUCAACCACUUUUGGGGCAUUAAUUCCAUUCAUUAUCAUAACCGAAUCUGCUAAGCCUUUGAAGUAUGGGAAGGAACCAUCAUGAUAUUUGCAAUUACGAUCAACUGGAAAACUAGCUGUCACUACAGGUACAAGUUCUAGCUGUCGAACACUGCGGAUUUCUCGUGGUAGUGCCACCCGUUUGUUGGUAUCCUCUCUCUGCGUUUCAAGCUCUGCAAGCUUGAUAUAGAUCUCAACCAUUUGUUUCAUUUGUUCAAUAACAGGACCAUGGUAUAAUGUUAAUUCAUCCAGAAGAGUUCUUGCUGAAAGUAUUUUAUCCAUAUCAACCACAAAUGAGUUUCUACUCCGCUGUUUGUCCUUGAUUCGAUCACCAUUUGCAAGAGCUAGAAGCUGAAAAAUUGUAUGGUAAGGAUGAUCCACAGCCAUUUUCUUCACAAGGGAAACCAAAGCAAACUGAAAAUUGUGAGGUCCCCCACCAUCCUUUGAGCUCCCCAUUCUUGAAGCAAUCUGAUAAACUAAUGGGACAAAUUUAUAUGACUGAACCUCAUUAAUAGUGUUAAUCAUGUUAUUGAUGACAUUUUGUUUAGAGGAGAGACUGAACCAAAGGGAAACAAGUCGAAACACCACCCGUACAUCAUAUUUGUCACCUAUGACCAGACAAUGCUUGUAUCCCUCCAAAGCAAGGUUGAGAAAAUUGUCCCUGUCAACCUGCAGUUUUUCAGCCUCUUCCUUGUCCAUUGUAAGUUGUUUCUGUAACUCUUGUAUUUUCACUGAAUAGUCAGUCUUGUCCCCCUUUGAUGAACUCUUUAGGCGCCUAAGAAGUGCCUCCAACUCCAAUGUCUUGUGUUUCCUUAAACGCAUUGCUGCUUGCCAUUCACUAGAAGUUAGUCUUUCCUCAUAGGACCUAAAUAGAGCAUCUGCAUAGUGUGCAAGAUUGAAAUAAGUUUGGCUUUGUCUUUCUAUGGACUUUUUGUCAACAGUUUUCUGAUCCUCAGCCAGAGAAACUGCAGGUUUCAGAUACUUCUCUAAGAUGGUUCUUGAGCUGCUGGAUCUUGUUUCUGCCAGCCACUUUCCAACUAAGCGAUACACAUCUGAAGCUCCUUCAUUUGAGUGACAAUUUUGAGAGAUAUAUUUUGCAAGGCUAAUAGCCAUCUCAUCCUGACCUUGUGCUCGUAAUAACUUUGCUUCUUCAAGCCUUCCAAGCCAAUACAAAGACAAAUGCUGUUCCCCUGUACUAACACAAAGAAACUUAAACUCAUGCAACGCUGCAGCAGAUUGAGAAAACCUAGAACCCUUACGAAGAGUAGAUGCAGACUGCAAAAGAUGUUUCAUCGAACACUCAUUACAGCCCAGGAUCUGAAGUAAAACUCGCCUGAAAGCUAUGAAUGGUUCUAGCAAAUUCAUAUGGAGCUGUGUUCGUUCCAAAACGUUGUCCCAAUCCUUAUUCAACCAUGAUAACUGCUCCAUGGUAGGGAACACAGGUUCUGGAAAACUUUGUUGCUUCUUAUGGAAAAAUUCUGUCAUUUCAUGUGGAGACGCUGUCCAUCGUAUAUUCCAUGCCAUCCCAAGAUGAUAAAGAAUCUGAAGUUUAAUAACUGUUGAAUAGAUGUAUUCAGUGCUCUCCUCACUUGCACAAGAGACAGACCACACAAGCUCCAGCUUUGAAUCUUUCAGUUUUUUGUGAAGUUCACCAAAAUCUCCCUCUUGCAAUGCCCUCAAACAACUGUGCAAAUUUUCAUUGAAAUGGUCAGUUUUAACAUUUUGACCUGAAGAAGAAUUGCCUCCAUGGACAAGCAAAGAGAAAUCCCAAUUCCCUGCACGCCAAGCAGCCUCAUACUGCAAUUCUGUGAACUCUAAAUCCUGCUGAAACUGGCCCAUCCGAGAAGUCAAUCCCUGGCAAUACAACUCUAGCAAAUGUGUACAGCCAAUUUGUUGAAGAGAUCUAAUCAGACCUUUGUAAGGUUUCCUUAGCCUCAUCUCAUCUUUUGAUUCAGAGACGAAUAGGUGGGCUGCUGAUUGGGUAUGCUCCACUGAUAAAGUUCUAGAUCCACCAUUCAUUUCCAGCAUAGUAUUUGCACGUACUUGUUGGUCAUAGUACUCAAGGGCCUUGCUCCAGUUCCCCUCAUGCUCAAAGGUAACAACUUGAGAUGUCAACUUGUGUGACUGAAUGAUCCCAUAUAAGCUGUCAGGUUCAUUGAUUUGAGUGACUGCUGAGACAAGUACUUCAAUGUGAUCUGGUAACACCUCAACAUGAGCGAAAUCUGGAUGCCCUAGUGUGAGGCUAUUGAAAUGUUCUUCGCACCAGUACUCCACAUACAUCAUAGAGGUAAAGUAUGACCCACAAAUAACUGCUGACUUAGCAACACGAAGGUAAUCAAUGUUUAGCCAAUAAACCUUGUCCCAUGAAGAUGUAAACAUUGCCAUUGCGCUUGAUGUAGCUAUAGAAUCUCUAGCCUUUGCAGAGAUGGAACGUGAUUUAGAGCCAUAACUAGAAGGCUUAGCAUGCUUGGAACUUUCUCGCUUUGAUGGUACAGAAGAUCUUUCAAGCACAUAACAUAACCGAAGCUUGUUAAGUGCAUUCAAGAAGACUUGAAUUGAUUUUAUCAACUUAUUAGAGUCUGUUAAUAUAUGCUCCUGCACCUGCAAACAUAUUAGUUUGUGAAGAUCCAUGUCCAUAUUCUUCCUUCCCGCUAGAUCUUCAAUAACACUUGGCAGCAGAAGCUCAGCAACUUCAGCUUUUAACAACACAAUAUCUUGACAUAACCUCAGAAUGACAUCAUUGUUGUAGCCAAUGAGUGAGUAUACAAGAGGGCAAAUCCACAUCUCAAAGGUUUUAUUUUGUGUUUCCCAUAUAGUAGGCUUCUCUAGUGGAAUUGCUUCAGCUCUAAACCUUUUCUCCAGAUCCAAAAGAAAAUUCUCCACCAACUCGGGAUUGACACCCUUGGAAUGAAUCUCAAUAAGAGAUCUUUCAUAAGAAUCAAAAGACAAUACAGCUCUUUGGCCCCUUUCAGUUGAAAGUAUUCCCCGAAGAGCUUGAGAUGUCAAAUCAACUAUUCUUACAGAAUCAUCCAUUAGAUACUUCUUCAUAAGUUUCAAAAGCGUAAUAAGUAGUUCUUCAGAUAUGAUUGCAUCCAUGUUAAAAUUGGUUUGAGUAGGGUUGUCAUCAGCUGUGGGUUUGCAAACUUUAAUGUCACUAGACUCUCCAGGUAGAUGGAAAACAACACCAUGUGGGUCCCCAAUGCCAACCCUAGAAAUGAAAUCAGACAUCAAUGUUCUAAUACUACUUGCAUCAUCUGAACCACACAUGCGAACAACUGUCCAGACAGCCUUAACAAUUUCCGGGUCAGAAUGCCAAGGUAUAUCCUCCAUAUUGUCUCUUUUAUUCCUUUCCCCUUCAAAAUAUUCGCCCAUGAGCAACUUCUUGUGUAGUGCUUGGACACUGCAUAAAAGUAACCUUGGUGGAAGGUAACAUGAUCUCUUCACAAACUUCAAUAAGUGGUCCCUUGGAGAAUAGGCUUGGCAUAACUCCUGAUGGAACUCUCGCACCUCAUUAAAAAUAUCUAUCUCAGGGAAGGGUUCCAACUCUUUGACAUAAUCAUGGAGAGAUAUAUCAGAUUCCACAGUUAGUUGGAGAAGCAAAGACAUGACCUGAGAUGAUGUAGUGCCAGAAAGCUCUCCAAUAGUUUUAGAGGGAAUGCAACAUGCCACCAACUUUGAAACCAAAAACUGAAGCUGUUCACCUAGCACUCUAACAACUUCUUUGGAGGGGUUGCUUUUAAAUGUUUUGAGCAAUGCAGAAAUUACUCGACAACAUUGGUCUUGUAAAUCAUGACAAUCAAUGAAUAGCCCUAUCAAACUAAAAAGAUAGUUGGAAGUGCUAGAAACAGCAGCUCUGUGCCCAAGAAUAUCUAUAAGCACCUCAAUUCCAGCCAACUUAUGACGUCUAUGCCUGUGAUGAACUGCUCCGGCUAUUUUAUAAUGCAUUUCUACUAUAAACAUGAAAACUCUAUCUGGCCGAAAAAUGUUAAUAUUGUCAAGAACAGCUACACUUGUAGGAUAAUCCUCCAUUUCCAAAAAUCCAUCCACAACUGUUUGAACUGCACGUGCUACUGUUUCUCUAGAAAAGAAAGGGCCUGCAGGAUCAGAUGCACAAGAAACAAGAGACAAGAUGUGGCUCACAAUUGAUACCUACAUAUACAUAGAGAUUUUAAAAGAUUAUGUUUAGAAUCCAAUGCAAAAAAAUAGUCAAUUCAGAGAAGCAACAAGAAAUGAAAAAUAACUAUUCGUACAAAAGUUAAGAAUAAAACCAGCACAAACAAAAAUGUUUCACAAAUUAAACUAAAGCAGGUGAAAUGCAAGAGACAAGUGGACAAAUAUAUAUUUUUGCCCAAAUAUCUGUUCAUCAAUGGCGUGUUCAUAUCAGAUAAAAAUAUACCUCAGACGUUGCCCAACAUGCAAGCAUUAUUCCUUGAAAAUAUGAUAGGUUUAGACUAAAUCUGGUUAACUUGCUUAAAAGUUGUAAUUUUCUUGGAAACAAAUGUAAUAAUAAGAAAGUGUACUUUAUAUAUAUAUAGUAGAAAUCUUGAAUCAAAUUUCAUU